CCUACGGGAGGCAGCAGUGAGGAAUAUUGGUCAAUGGACGAGAGUCUGAACCAGCCAAGUAGCGUGAAGGAUGACUGUCCUAUGGGCUGUAAACUUCGUUUAUAAAGGAAUAAAACGACGCACGUGUGUCUUUUUGCAUGUACUGUAUGAAUAAGGAUCGGCUAACCUCGUGCCAGCAGCCGCGGUAAUACGGAGGAUCCGAGCUUUAUCCGGAUUUAUUGGGUUUAAAGGGAGCGUAGAUGGGUUGUUAAGUCAGUUGUGAAAGUUUGCGGCUCAACCGUAAAGUUGCAAUUGAUACUGGCAGUCUUGAGUACAGUUGAGGUAAGCGGAAUUCGUGGUGUAGCGGUGAAAUGCUUAGAUAUCACGAAGAACCCCGAUUGCGAAGGCAGCUUACUAAACUGUGACUGACAUUGAUGCUCGAAAGUGUGGGUAUCAAACAGGAUUAGAUACCCCUGUAGUC
rnacentral:rRNA from 1 species